AGCGAACGCUGGCGGCAGGCCUAACACAUGCAAGUCGAGCGGCCGUAGCAAUACGGCAGCGGCAGACGGGAUAGUAACACGUGGGAACGUACCCUUCAGUUCGGAACAACCCAGGGAAACUUGGGCUAAUACCGAAUACGUCCGUAAGGAGAAAGAUUUAUCGCUGAAGGAUCGGCCCGCGUCUGAUUAGCUAGUUGGUGAGGUAAUGGCUCACCAAGGCGACGAUCAGUAGCUGGUCUGAGAGGAUGAUCAGCAUCACUGGGACUGAGACACGGCCCAGACUCCUACGGGAGGCAGCAGUGGGGAAUAUUGGACAAUGGCGCAAGCCUGAUCCAGCCAUGCCGCGUGGAUGAUGAAGGCCCUAGGGUUGUAAAGUCCUUUCGGCGGGGAAGGAUAAUGACGGUACCCGCAGAAGAAGCCCCGGCUAACUUCGUGCCAGCCGCCGCCGUAAG
rnacentral:rRNA from 1 species